ensembl:lncRNA
AUGCAUCAAAACUGUGUAUGCAAAGGUAAAAGUCCCUGCUUUUGUGAUAGCACGAAAGGUAGUAAGGGUGAAAAAGGCUUUCCUGGUGUGCCAGGUCCACCUGGUCAAAGAGGCUUUCCUGGUCCAGAAGGGCCUCCAGGACCACAGGGACCAAAGGUAGGUAUGUAUGUGAGACAGAGAGAUACACCCAGAGAAACUACUGUGCUUGACAGUCAAAGUUAGCUAUGACUGUGUAGACAAUUCUGUUUUAUAAAACCAAACCAAAACCUGUCUCAGAGCUUCCCGUUUGGUGAGGGAUGUUGUUUGGUCAUCAGCUGCAAUAGUCAUUUUGACUGCGUCAGAGUAGAGCUGAUAAGACCAUGGGCUUUUGUUGUCAAUUGUCCAUUGGCCAGUGCUAAAGCAGCUGGACUGAACUGCCAGAGGCAAUGAACAUGGGUCUAGGCAGACUUUUGCAGCAUAGCCUCAGUUUUUGUCUUAAUAUCUAUUAACAUCUGAAAAGAAAGUAAACAAGCUACUAGCGAGACAAAUAUGAAAAAUAGAUUUAAGAAAAUUUGAAGGGAAAGAUGGUUUUUAAGAUAAAUCUUGGCCUGUUUAGGAAAUACCUGGUUGCCUGCAUGGUGCACAGGGUGGCUUCAGUGACUUGAGCUUGCUUUCUUUCCUGUAUGCCUAAACUGAGGCUGAAUAUGAAUUUUCAAUAACUCCUGCAUGAGUAGAAAAAAAACUCAACAAAAAGUCAUGCAGUAAAAGUGUCUUAUGUGUAUUUGUUUUGAGGAACAGUAUUGCUGUUAUCAAUAAACUGGCUCUGGUGAAUAAAUUACUUCUGUGUAAAUACGGUGUGAACUCAGCCACAAUGUAAAUCAGGAAGGUACUACCACAAUCAGAUUCUGUCUAAGACCUGCACUAAUGUGGCUACAGCACUUAACUAUACCUUUAAAGAAAUGGGCUUUAUAGUUUUCAUUUGUUUAAGCAUUGUUGCAUUAUUCUGUCCUAUCUUAUUUUUACAAUGCUUUCUGGAAGUGAUACUCAUGGUAGAUUUCAUACAUGUUGAUGAGCCCUUUAUCUGAGCUCAUUGAGGUGUUUAGUACAGCAUUUCCCUUUCAGUAAGUGAUAAUAACUUCUGCAAGAAUGGCAAAAAGUAAGAUAGUUUAUCUAGCAAGACCUCUCUUAGCCUGAAUGGCAUCUGUUGUAGUGUGUGCCAGUUAGUCUCUCCUAUCCAACACUUCUACAGCAUCUGAAAUGGAAUGUGGCCCAAGAUUUUAGAAGCUAUGCUGCUCUUCACGUUUUCCAUUUCCUUUCUGGGAAUGGUAAAGUCUUCAUACUAGCACUUAAGCUCUAUGUGUCUUGAAAGAAUUCCAGCAGGUUCUGUCCAGAUGUUGCAGUGUCACUGGGGCAUUCUUUGCUGUCUUCUUUCAGCCUUGCUCUCCCAUCCUGCUUAGCCCCCUUUCAGCUUGCUCUGGUCUUCCUUUCCAUGCUCAACAGUGUGGGUGAGAGUACAUACAUCUCAUGCAUCUGAUCAUUACACAGACAUCGCCCAUAUCUGGGCACCUUCCAGCUUUUUCCUCACAGGGAAGCACUUCCAGGUCUCACAGUUUGACCAAAUCCAUAGCAACCGCAUUCUCAACAUUAUUUUUUUGACCAAUGAUGAGAUAUAUAUUUUUUUUCACUACAAGGGUAAGAGGGUGGCGAGACACUGAACAGGUUCCCCAUCCCUGGAAGUUCAAGGCCAAGUUGGAUGAGGCUUUAAGGAACCUGUUCUAGUGGAAGGGGUCCCUGCCUGUGUCAGGGAGGUUGGAACUAGAGGAUCUUUGAGGUCCUUUCCAACUUGAACCAUUCUUUGAUUCUAUGAUAAUCCCCUGUAAACACUGAAAGGGAGGGCAAGACACCACAAUUUAGGCAAGUUGUAUGAAAUGUUUGUUUCCUUUAUUGACUGUAAUAGCCCAAUCAUUUAUUUAUUUGUAUAGCUGGUUUUGUGUGGGCAUAUUGAUAUUGAUAUUGAAAAUAUUGAGUGUCCUGUUGACAUUUAUGAGCUUUUUAUCAAUUGAAAUGAGUUGAAAGAUGUUGCUUUCCAUUUGUGAUCUAGGGUUCUCCAGGGCUUACAGGCUUAGUUGGACCCAAAGGUAUACGAGUAAGUGUGUUUUAAACAAACAUAUAUAUUAAACGUCUUGCUAAUUUCCACCUUGGUUCAAUAAUUUGUGAAAAUAAAAGCAAAGCAUUAUGUAUAAUUUCAACGUAUGGUUAAAAUUUAUUACAUGGUGUAUGCACAAGCAUUAUUUUUAGACCUUUUGCCCUUUUUGCUACACCUUAUGUACAAGGUUAUUGCUGUAUGUAUUUAAUAUUUGGGUGUGCAGUGAAAAAGUCAGACUAGAAUACCAUGAAGAAUUAUCUGGGGUUUUUUCUGUGGACAAAACUGGUGUGUGUUACCUGUUUGUAACCAUUAUGCUUGGUUUACAAUCAUAAUAGUUAAGGAAGUAACGAUCUUUUUAAUAGAAUCAUACUUGCAUUAGUUCUUAUUAUGAAUGUAAUCAAAGAAAAAUUGCUGAUGAGCUUUUGUUUAAUAUUCAUAAUAUUAUUCUCUGGUUUAAUUUCGUUAGGGAGUCCCAGGAAUACCCGGAUUUUCAGGUCCUCCAGGCCUUCCAGUAAGUAAAAAUGAAACUGAUUUAACCAUUUCUCUCUUACUACAGUCUUUAGUGCACAAUUAUCCUCAGCUCAAUGUGCUCACUCUAGUUUCAACAUCAACAUUGUCUCUGUCAAUUGGCCUAGUGAUAAAAAUCUU